UAUGGAGGAUGAUGAUGAGGUUAGUUUCCAACCUUCUACUACUCUGUUUUCUGCUUUUUUUUCUCUGUUUCUUUAAUUUUCAAAAUGAAAAUAUUCCUCUUGCUAUGAAGAAUUUAUUAAAUUUUUUGUUUACAGUUUGGUAUUUUGUGUGUGUGUGUGUGUGUAGGACUACAAAUAAUCAGAUUUCAAAAUCCUGCUUUUGGACUCCCACAUACUAUUAUUUUGUUUGUUGCCCACUGAUACUAUAUUUCUUGACAGAUUGAUCGCAUUGCUCGUGUUGCAUUUGAGACUAUUCGGAAGCGGGGUACGAAACUCUAUUCUGUUGAUAAAGCAAAUGAUUAUAGACCCAUGAUAAAACUUCCAGCUACAUUGGUCUGGUAUACUGUUUUGCUUGUUAAAUGGAUGCAUGCAAAAAUGGCCUCCACAAAGCUUAACAGUUCUGCACCAUUGCAUGGUGUUCGAUUAGCAUUGCGCACAAGUACGCUUAACUGCUCUGCAACUCAAAAACAUAUUGGAUACUCACCAGUUGUCUCCUUGGAAACACAUCAGAGCUUCUUUGCUUUCUCUCCUAUGCCCCUCCAUCAUCAGGUCCCAACUCUUGCCCAAACUUGAUGACUUCAUGAGGUGCCACCUCAGCAAUUGGGACAACACACUCAUUGACAUUCAACAAAAAACCAAAGAGAUGGCAUUUUUGUCGUCGCUUAACCAAAUUGCAAGUAUUGAAUGGGAGUCAAUGUCUAGGGAAUUCAUGCCUGAAUUCUUUAAGCUGGUGUUGGGAACCCUUUCUCUGCCUAUCAACUUUCCCGGAACAAAUUACCACCGCGGUUUCCAAGCAAGAAAACAUUGUUAGCAUGCUGAGACGACUCGUAGAGGAAAGAAGUGCUUGCCAAGAAACCAAACAUGACAUGCUUGGUCUCCUAAUGAAUGGGGGUGAAGAAAACAGAUAUAAUCUAACAGAUGAAGAGAAAAUUGAUCAAAUGAUAGCAAUUUUGUAUUCUGGAUACGAGACUGUUAUGUAACCAAGUAUUCUUAAAUAUUAAUGGUGUAUUUUCACACCCUACUGUUAUGUAAUAUUUGUGGAUAUGUUAUUUUGUGGGUAAUGGUGAUUGGUGAAUGGGAAAGUGAAUUAAUGAUG